GUAAACUGCCUUUUGUUCUGUAUGUGGGUGUUUCUUUUUUGUGACUAGAUUUAUUAUAAUCACGAUUGUAUGUGGACUUCUCUGGUAGAGGUGAAACUUAAUGUACUUCCUUUUGUUUAAACUUCUUUAUGCAUGUAGCCCAUUAUGUCUUGAUUUUAAAAAAUAUUAAUGUUAUAUGUAGAGUAAGUAGAAACUAAUCAGACCAUUUCCAAGCUUUAUUGCAUAUCCUUUUCCUUUGGCUUAUAAACCUAGGCCUGUCAGUGCUGACCUCAUUUUCCCUUCCAGCUUGUAUAACUGGUGUUUUAAUGGAUAGCUGUGGGAUCAUCACUAAUGCUACCAAUAUGUGCUUUACUCUAAUUCACCUGCGAGUCAUAAUUAAUGGUCUCUCCUGAUGUUUUCAAAUUAAGAAUGAUGCUUAGGACUUUGGAACCUGCUGUUUGUCUUUGUGGUUUCUUUAAUCCUCUAAUAAAACCCAAGCAGAUGAACCCCAGUGAAGUGAAUACCUUGCAUUGUGAGAAAUGCAUGUUCAAAUAUAACGCUCAUAUAUCACAAGCCACAGGCCACGUGCUUUCUGAAGCUACUAAAGAAUAACAUAAAAUAUGUAAGUGUAAGGACAGGAGAUGAAAAUAAUGCAAUUGAGCAACACCGGAUUUGUGUCUAAGUAUAUCUAUAGAGUGUAUAUACAUAUAUAUAGAUAUAAAUAUAGAGAUAUAUACAUAUACAUAUAGUGGUGGCUGGUAUAAGUGGGCCUAAGGGGGUGAACCCUCCCUAAUUUGUGUUGGGGGAAAUGGACGUUUCCGUUCAGCCCAACACUCCAUCCAGUGUUUCCUGACCAGUUGAACAACAUACUAACAGGAUAUUAAUUUAUACAAGAAAUUAUUAUAAGCAAUAGAAAUCAGGGAAGUUGGGGUUAAUUAUAGAUAGAUAGAUAGAUAGAUAGAUAGAUAGAUAGAUAGAUAGAUAGAUAGAUAGAUAAUUUGUCCCAAGAGGGAAAUCUAGAAAUUUAAUAUACCAAAGAGAACAUAGCACCAAAAAGUAAAUGACCCACAGAGAAAUAAAAAAUUGGUAAUGCAAAGAUGACAUUAAUUACUACUGUAAUAGAAACUAAAUUAAUUAUAAAUAUAAAACAAAUAAUAAUUGAAGGUAUAAGUAUUCACCCCCUUCGAGUCAGUAUUUAGCAGAUGGCAGCCAUGAUAGCCUUGAAUCUGUGAACAAAGGUCUCUUUCUCUCUCUUCCAGGAGACUGAAGGAUUUUAGGAUCUGAGGUAGGAGACCGGAGGUGCAGGAGGAUAUUCCCUUGUACAUACAGUAUAGUGGCUAGGGGAUGGGGAGAUUUUAGGUAGGAGACCAGAGGUGCAGGAGGAUAUUCCCUUGUACAUACAGUAUAGUGGCUAAGGGAUGGAGAGAUUUUAGGUAGGAGACUGGAGGUGCAGGAGGAUAUUCCCUUGUACAUAUAUAAACUAGGAGAUGGAGGGAUGUUAGGAUUUUAGUUAGAAGACCAGAAAUGGAUAUUCCCUUGUAAAUAUAUAAGCUGAAAGAUGGGGAGACCAGAGGUGCAGGGGGAUAUUCGCUUGUAAAUAUUUAAGAUAGGAGACAGAAGAGUUUUAGGAAUUUGGGUAGGAGACCAGAGGUGCAGGAGGAUAUUUGCUUGUACAUAUAUAAGCUAGGAGACAGAACGAUUUUAGGAAUUUAGGUAGGAGAUCAGAGAUGAAAAGGAAUAUUCUGUUGUAAAUAUGUGCAGUAAGUUAGGAGAUGGAGGGAUUUUUGGUAGGAAACCAGAGUAGCAGGAGGAUAUUCAUUUGUAUAUAUAUUAGCUAGGAGAUGGAGGGAUUUUAGAUAGAGACUGGUAUCACCCCUGCUACAGUUCUCAGGAGAUCGCUGCCAGUUCUUACUUGCAGCAUUACAUUAUAGAGUUAUGAGAGAAAAAUAAAUCAUACUGGAGUUAAAAAGUGUAAAUGCCUGUUGUAGAUACAAGUGAGUACCAGCUGAUGUCAAACACUGUUGGUACGCAAGAAAAACUUCCGGUAUACUAAAUAACAUAACGUCGAAUUGCCAGUACAGAGUAUUGGUGAGUACUGGCCCAUUUUGGGCGGUCACUACAUAAAGUUUCUGAUGGGGAAAAUAGUCUAUGGUCUUAUUACAAAUGGGGAAUCCGUGCUGAAUUUGGCGACGAUUGGUUCAACUGUGUUGAUUUACGUACCAGACAAACAGACGAGUGUAUAAUAAGAUUUAUAGAUUGGAUUAGAAAACUGGUGAGAUGAGUGAAGUUCAGCAAUUUCUCUAUAAAACCAAAGGCCAGGGUAAACUAACUGGGCGCACAUGUGAAGUUUCAUUUAAAUUGUCACAUGCCACACUUUGGCGCCAGGUUGCCCCGCUGAAGUCGUGCUGUUACAGACUGUCCCCACUGAACGAUGUAAGUAACGAAAGUGUCCCCCGCCGGCUUGUCACCAGCUGCCACUGUUUGUAAAUGUAUGUAUGUGUUUGACAUUCACCUAAACCUGGACAAUGCUAUUGGUUUACUUUUAGGUUUUCCUUUUUUUGUUUUGUUUUGUUUUGAAGCCAUGUAUCUCCUCUACAUUUUUAUGUCAUGUAAGCACAUAUUUCAAUACAUUACUACAGAUAUCUACUUAAACAAUUCUUU